CAGCAGCCGCGGGAAUACAGAGGAUGCAAGCGUUAUCCGGAAUGAUUGGGCGUAAAGCGCGCGCAGGCGGUUUCUUAAGUCUGAUGUGAAAGCCCCCGGCUUAACCGGGGAGGGUCAUUGGAAACUGGGAGACUUAGAGUGCAGAAGAGGAGAGUGGAAUUCCAUGUGUAGCGGUGAAAUGCGUAGAGAUGUGGAGGAACACCAGUGGCGAAGGCGACUCUCUGGUCUGUAACUGACGCUGAGGAGCGAAAGCGUGGGGAGCGAACAGGAUUAGAUACCCCCGUAGUCCCUGUCUCUUAUU
rnacentral:rRNA from 1 species